rnacentral:rRNA from 1 species
GGUUAAGUGAAUAAGGGCGCACGGUGGAUGCCUUGGCACUAGGAGCCGAUGAAGGACGGGACUAACACCGAUAUGCUUUGGGGAGCUGUAAGUAAGCUAUGAUCCAGAGAUUUCCGAAUGGGGGAACCCAAUAUCUUUUAUAGGAUAUUACUUUUCAGUGAAUACAUAGCUGAUUAGAGGUAGACGCAGAGAACUGAAACAUCUUAGUACCUGCAGGAAGAGAAAGAAAAUUCGAUUCCCUGAGUAGCGGCGAGCGAAACGGGAAGAGCCCAAACCAACAAGCUUGCUUGUUGGGGUUGUAGGACUCCAAUAUGGUAGUCUGUUAGUAUAGUUGAAGGAUUUGGAAAAUUCCGCUAAAGAGGGUGAAAGCCCCGUAGACGAAAUGCUGACAACACCUAGGAGGAUCCUGAGUACGGCGGAACACGAGAAAUUCCGUCGGAAUCCGCGGGGACCAUCCCGCAAGGCUAAAUACUCCCUAGUGACCGAUAGUGAACCAGUACCGUGAGGGAAAGGUGAAAAGCACCCCGGAAGGGGAGUGAAAUAGAUCCUGAAACCGUGUGCCUACAACAAGUCAAAGCUCGUUAAUGAGUGAUGGCGUGCCUUUUGUAGAAUGAACCGGCGAGUUACGAUUGCAUGCGAGGUUAAGUCGAAGAGACGGAGCCGCAGCGAAAGCGAGUCUGAAUAGGGCGAAUGAGUAUGUAGUCGUAGACCCGAAACCAUGUGAUCUACCCAUGUCCAGGUUGAAGGUGCGGUAAAACGCACUGGAGGACCGAACCCACGUACGUUGAAAAGUGCGGGGAUGAGGUGUGGGUAGCGGAGAAAUUCCAAACGAACUUGGAGAUAGCUGGUUCUCUCCGAAAUAGCUUUAGGGCUAGCCUCGGAAUUGAGAAUGAUGGAGGUAGAGCACUGUUUGGACUAGGGGCCCAUCUCGGGUUACCGAAUUCAGAUAAACUCCGAAUGCCAUUCAUUUAUAUCCGGGAGUCAGACUGCGAGUGAUAAGAUCCGUAGUCGAAAGGGAAACAGCCCAGACCACCAGCUAAGGUCCCAAAAUAUAUGUUAAGUGGAAAAGGAUGUGGGGUUGCACAGACAACUAGGAUGUUGGCUUAGAAGCAGCCACCAUUUAAAGAGUGCGUAAUAGCUCACUAGUCGAGUGACCCUGCGCCGAAAAUGUACCGGGGCUAAACAUAUUACCGAAGCUGUGGACUACACCAUUAAGGUGUAGUGGUAGGAGAGCGUUCUAAGGGCGUUGAAGGUCGAUCGUGAGGACGGCUGGAGCGCUUAGAAG